GCGAAAGUGGCGGAACUGGCAGACGCGCUGGAUUCAGGUUCCAGUGGGGUUAAACCCGUGCAGGUUCGAUUCCUGUCUUUCGCACCA
rnacentral:tRNA from 1 species